GGAAUAUUGCACAAUGGGGGAAACCCUGAUGCAGCGACGCCGCGUGGGUGACGAAGUAUUUCGGUAUGUAAAGCCCUAUCAGCAGGGAAGAAGAUGACAGUACCUGACCAAGAAGCCCCGGCUAACUACGUGCCAGCAGCCGCGGUAAUACGUAGGGGGCAAGCGUUAUCCGGAUUUACUGGGUGUAAAGGGAGCGUAGACGGUAAUGCAAGUCUGGAGUGAAAGGCGGGGGCCCAACCCCCGGACUGCUCUGGAAACUGUGUAACUGGAGUGCAGGAGAGGCAGGCGGAAUUCCUAGUGUAGCGGUGAAAUGCGUAGAUAUUAGGAGGAACACCAGUGGCGAAGGCGGCCUGCUGGACUGUAACUGACGUUGAGGCUCGAAAGCGUGGGGAGCA
rnacentral:rRNA from 1 species